AAUUAUAAAUAACGAUUCAAUUAGGUACACAAAAAGCUCAAGAAAAUCAUUGACAGCAUAAAAACGUUCAACUCAUUUAGUCGCACAUAAUUGUUUUAAUGAUUUUUUAGUUAUACAUUUUUGACUUUCUUCGAUUUGACUUUUCAACACAUCUUUUCGCUUUGGAAGAUGAAUAAGAAAUAGCAAGGUUUAAAACAUGAACAGCACAAUGAACAAACGUCGCAAGCGGAUAACUUUGGUGAAUAAGAGAUUGAGCUCCGUUAAAUUGACCAGACAUAGAAGCACAUCCAUCGUAACACUGUCCUCUAAGUAGUGUCUGUUGUAGGCACAAACUGAAAAAUUCUUCCUUGAUAAUCAUAUUUUCAACAUCUAAAUAUUGAACACACAAAGUUAUUUAUUCGCUUCCAC